rnacentral:rRNA from 1 species
CAGCCGCCGCGGGAAUACGUAGGGUGCAAGCGUUAAUCGGAAUUACUGGGCGUAAAGCGUGCGCAGGCGGUUAUAUAAGACAGAUGUGAAAUCCCCGGGCUCAACCUGGGAACUGCAUUUGUGACUGUAUAGCUAGAGUACGGCAGAGGGGGAUGGAAUUCCGCGUGUAGCAGUGAAAUGCGUAGAUAUGCGGAGGAACACCGAUGGCGAAGGCAAUCCCCUGGGCCUGUACUGACGCUCAUGCACGAAAGCGUGGGGAGCAAACAGGAUUAGAUACCCGCGUAGUCACUGUCUCUUAUAC